UAAAACGACUCUCGGCAACGGAUAU
rnacentral:ncRNA from 3 species